rnacentral:lncRNA from 1 species
AUGACAACACAACUCAGGGCUAUUUAUGUCUGCCUCUUACAUGUCCCUCUGUGCCAUUACCCCAAGGCUGAGGUGUGCUGGCGCUGUAGGGAUCCUGACUAUACCAUCAUUCCCUCGGAAACCAACAGGCCGUCAUGCUGCACAGGCCAGGCCCACUGCAACCCGACCCAUGAGACCCAUGCUUUUCCCAGGCUACCUCCCUGCCCCUGGAGUUACAGGUUUGGAAUAUUCUGCAUGGACAGGAUGUCAGGAGCAAUGGAGCACCAGUGUUAGGAGAACCUACCUCCCCUGGCUCCAUCAAAGCCACAGACCCAUGAGAACCAUCCAGCCUAGCCUGAGCCACACGCCCGGAGGCCACAGCCUGUGUGCAGGAAAGUGA